AUUGAACGCUGGCGGCAUGCUUUACACAUGCAAGUCGAACGGUAACAGGCCGCAAGGUGCUGACGAGUGGCGGACGGGUGCGUAAUGCAUCGGAACGUGCCCAGUCGUGGGGGAUAACUACUCGAAAGAGUAGCUAAUACCGCAUACGAUCUAUGGAUGAAAGCGGGGGACCGUAAGGCCUCGCGCGAUUGGAGCGGCCGAUGUGAGAUUAGGUAGUUGGUGGGGUAAAGGCUCACCAAGCCAACCAUCUGUAGCUGGUCUGAGAGGACGAGCAGCCACACUGGGACUGAGACACGGCCCAGACUCCUACGGGAGGCAGCAGUGGGGAAUGUUGGACAAUGGGCGCAAGCCUGAUCCAGCAAUGCCGCGUGCAGGAAGAAGGCCUUCGGGUUGUAAACUGCUUUUGUACGGAACGAAACGGCUCUGGUUAAUACCCGGGGCUAAUGACGGUACCGUAAGAAUAAGCACCGGCUAACUACGUG
rnacentral:rRNA from 1 species